rnacentral:rRNA from 1 species
GAUGAACGCUGGCGGCGUGCCUAAUACAUGCAAGUCGAGCGAACGGACGAGAAGCUUGCUUCUCUGAUGUUAGCGGCGGACGGGUGAGUAACACGUGGAUAACCUACCUAUAAGACUGGGAUAACUUCGGGAAACCGGAGCUAAUACCGGAUGAUAUUUUGAACCGCAUGGUUCAAAAGUGAAAGACGGUCUUGCUGUCACUUAUAGAUGGAUCCGCGCUGCAUUAGCUAGUUGGUAAGGUAACGGCUUACCAAGGCAACGAUGCAUAGCCGACCUGAGAGGGUGAUCGGCCACACUGGAACUGAGACACCGUCCAGACUCCUACGGGAGGCAGCAGUAGGGAAUCUUCCGCAAUGGGCGAAAGCCUGACGCAGCAACGCCGCGUGAGUGAUGAAGGUCUUCGGAUCGUAAAACUCUGUUAUUAGGGAAGAACAUAUGUGUAAGUAACUGUGCACAUCUUGACGGUACCUAAUCAAAAAGCCACGGCUAACUACGUG